GCAUUUUGGAGGGACUCAGAGGAGGGCAGAGCGAUGGAAGCGCAGAGAACAGGGGGGCAGAGGUAGAGGUGAGUGUGCAGGGUGGGGCGGGUCACGUGGGCCUUGCGGCUUCAUCCGCGGAGGUUGGGAAGCCUUUGGGGGUUUUGAUUAGGGCGGUGAUCGUAACAAACCGUUCCAGAGACUGGUGGAGAACCCCAGUGGGAGACUAGUCUCUGGUGCUUAUGUUGGGGUGUAGGCUGUGGGGAAAGAGAUGCAUGUGUUAGUGAGCGGUUCGGAGAUCAGAGAGCGGUCGAGAAGGCGCGCCCCAUCAGACUGGGAGCAGGGGCAGAGAGACGCGGCGCCGAUGCGUGUAGAUUCUCCAUCCGAGCACCUGGAGAAGGGAAAAUGGUCCCGCUCACAUGCGGAGGGACGUGAUGACCCCAGUCUGAGCUGGCGGGCGCAAUGGGGUUAAUAGUUUAAGGGGAGUAAAAAGAAUACGUCGAGCCAAAUCGUAGCGUAUGAACGAUAUAAAGGUAGGGGAAGUAAUCAUAGGCUGAGAAGAGACUUUGGGUUGGGGAGUCUGUUCCUUUGUUUCAUGGAAAAUAGGCUGCAGAUGGAGGUUGUUUGAGUAGAGAGAUGUGCCUGGGGAGCUUGGCUGGGGUUUCGGCCCACAGCAGCUCCCAGUAGACUGGGGCUCUUACCCAGCCCUGGAAAUGGGUGGAGAAUCUGGACAGGAACCACAGUGCAGACAUGCUCUGGCGUCACUUACGUGAUUUCACUCACUCACUCACUCACUCAUUCACUCCACAAACAUUUGUUGUUUAUUUUUCUAUCAAUGUUCUAGGGCUGAGGCAUUUAAAGGAUCCAAAACUCCCUUAGCUUCUGCCAGAGGAGACACCUGAUAAACACAUCAGCGUGUAACGAAUCUCAGGUCAACUGCUACAAAGGAAAAGAAAGGAGGGUCCCAGACUGGAAAGUGACAAGAAAGGCUCUCUGAGUCCAGGGGAGAGGCGUUUGAGUCUGUCUGAAGGAGAGGCAUCUGAGUUUCAAUAAAACCACUGAGAAAUCACAGAUUGCUGAUUUGGAAGUCUAUGUAAGGGUACCUUCUUGUUUUUUGUCAUCUUUAAAUAUAUAUUAUUAGAUAACUGGCAAGCAUAUUAA
rnacentral:lncRNA from 1 species